rnacentral:lncRNA from 1 species
GCUCAGGGAUGAGGGUAUGAGUCUUAGUCGUCUUAACCUCUUGAUCUUCACAUCUUUUUACCAAGAAUGCUAGGAAUUGUAUGAACUGGUAAUUAGGGACAGGCUUAUUUACCGAGGGGUCGGGUUUAUGUGGUUUAGUGAGGGACGUUGGCAUUAAUUCAUAAAGAAGAAUUCUUAUAUACAUGAGAGGAACUUGGUGAAAUCUAACCCCAACAACAUAUACAUCUCAUAUAAAUCAAUCUUUGUUCAUCUUUGUGCUCUUUUGCCAUUGAUCAAUUGCAAUUUUAUUUUCUUUAUUACUUUUUCAUCCCAAACCCAUGAUUUCUUUUAUUUUUAGUCUUAAUUAAUCUUUUUUUGACACAAACAUUCAGCGCCGAGAGUCCUCUAGGAUACGAUACUUGGUCUUACCAUUUUAUAUACUUGUGUGACUCGGUACACUUGCCGAUUUCCCCCAACAAGUUUUUGGUGUCGUUGUCGGGGACUCACGGUUUAAGCUAUUCUAUUUGUAUGAUUCUUGAUUAAUUUUGACUUUAUUUUAUUUUAUUUUCUUAUUUUUAUUUUUCCCAUUUUUAAUUUUUAUUUUUCAAUCCCUAAUUUUUAUUUUUUCUUAUUUUUAUUUUUGUACUAACAAUCUCUCUCUAGAAUUUUGUACAGGGAUUUGAAGGAGGCCUAAAGGAGAUAGAUUAUCUAGAGAACGUUCUCGAGAGAAAAUUUCACAGGCCUCAUAAUAUGAUCUAACAAGGAUGCAAUUCUACCAAGAUAAUUUGAACUACUGGUGGGAACCUCACUCAAGCACAAAUCAAAUUCAAUAUGGGCAACUUGGUGGACUAUUCACUAGACCACCACAGGCUAACAGUGCUACAAAGCUUGAAGAGACCCUUCAGUGGUUCAUGCAGGAAUCUCUCUCAAUUCAAGAAAGCACUCAAGCAGCAUCUGAAAGGA